GGAGGCGGGGCGCCUGUGGGAGCCGUGGAGGGAACUUUCCCAGUCCCCGAGGCGGAUCCGGUGUUGCAUCCUUGGAGCGAGCUGAGAGCUCGAGUACAGAACCUGCUAAGGCCAUCAAACCUAUUGAUCGGAAGUCAGUCCAUCAGAUUUGCUCUGGGCCGGUGGUACCGAGUCUAAGCACUGCGGUGAAGGAGUUAGUAGAAAACAGUCUGGAUGCUGGUGCCACUAAUAUUGUAGAGAUAGAGUUUCUCCAUGUUGGUCAGGCUGGUCUCGAACUACUGACCUCAGGUGAUCCGCUCGCUUUGGUCUCCCAAAGUGCUGGGAUUACAGGCAUGAACCACCGCGCCUGGCCCCCGUUCUCCUUACUGGAUCUAAAGCUUAAGGACUAUGGAGUGGAUCUCAUUGAAGUUUCAGGCAAUGGAUGUGGGGUAGAAGAAGAAAACUUCGAAGGCUUAACUCUGAAACAUCACACAUCUAAGAUUCAAGAGUUUGCCGACCUACCUCAGGUUGAAACUUUUGGCUUUCGGGGGGAAGCUCUGAGCUCACUUUGUGCACUGAGUGAUGUCACCAUUUCUACCUGCCAUGUAUCGGCGAAGGUUGGGACUCGACUGGUGUUUGAUCACUAUGGGAAAAUCAUCCAGAAAACCCCCUACCCCCACCCCAGAGGGAUGACAGUCAGUGUGAAGCAGUUAUUUUCUACGCUACCUGUGCACCAUAAAGAAUUUCAAAGGAAUAUUAAGAAGAAACGUGCCUGCUUCCCCUUCGCCUUCUGCCGUGAUUGUCAGUUUCCUGAGGCCUCCCCAGCCAUGCUUCCUGUACAGCCUGCAGAACUGACUCCUAGAAGUACCCCACCCCACCCCUGCUCCUUGGAGGACAACGUGAUCACUGUAUUCAGCUCUGUCAAGAAUGGUCCAGGUUCUUCUAGAUGAUCUGCACAAAUGGCUCCUCUCCUCCUUCCUGAUGUCUGCCAUUAGCACUGGAAUAAAGUUCCUGCUGAAAAUCCACAUCUCCCCUGGGUCCGGUGUUCUGGAAGUGAGAGAGACAAUGUCACACCUCAAGGAGACAGCUCUCUAGACAGGAAGGUUAUUCACGUCCCAUGUCAAGUCUAGCUAGAGUUCAGAGCAAUUGAGAAGUGCGAUUUUAUCUCCUGCCUUUCAUUCUAUACCCUGCUUCUGAACCAUCGUGUUCAACUGUGAAACUCACGCUUUGGUGACCCUGACUCCAAAACUUAAUACACCCAAGGUCAGCCCCAGUGAUCUGCUUCAUAGCGAGGACUUUGGGUGGGUCUUCCCAGGGAGUAGGGCACCCUCAGAGAAUGUGGCUUUGGACUUCAUCACAGCUAGGGUCUUUUGUGUCACUUCAGAUCUAAACUUGUAACUGUGCUAGAUCUGUUUCUAAUGUGACAACAUCACAAACCACGAGUCCAGAAGCCUAAUCCAUAAUCCUACCUCCUCAUGACGAAGUCUCAUGCUCUGUGC
rnacentral:lncRNA from 1 species